GAGACUCUCCAGGUCAAUCAGAGGGGCGGACAGAACCGGGGAGGGACAGCUGUCUCUGCAGCUGCUGUCUGAACUGAAUCUCCAUUAAACAAACUAAAGUCUGAAUGAGCGGAGCCGUUAACCGACUCUUCUUCUUCUUCAGACCUGCUGUCUUCAGGGAGUCUCCUCUGAUGACACACGGCCCUUCAGGUGUAUUCAGGUGUGUUGUUUCAGGUGUAUUCAGGUGUGUUGUUUCAGGUGUAUUCAGGUGUGUUGUUUCAGGUGUAUUCAGGUGUGUUGUUUCAGGUGUAUUCAGGUGUGUUGUACUUCCACUGAGAGGGA